rnacentral:rRNA from 1 species
AACGAACGCUGGCGGCGUGCUUAACACAUGCAAGUCGAACGAGAAGCCUUCUUCGGAAGGUGGACAGUGGCAGACGGGUGAGUAACGCGUGGCAACCUACCCUUCACUACGGGACAACAGUUGGAAACGACUGCUAAUACCGUAUACGUCCUCCGGGAGAAAGAUUUAUCGGUGAUGGAUGGGGCCGCGUUAGAUUAGCUUGUUGGUGGGGUAAUGGCCUACCAAGGCGACGAUCUAUAGCUGGUCUGAGAGGAUGAUCAGCCACACUGGGACUGAGACACGGCCCAG